CCUACGGGGUGCAGCAGUGGGGAAUAUUGGGCAAUGGGCGCAAGCCUGACCCAGCAACGCCGCGUGAAGGAAGAAGGCUUUCGGGUUGUAAACUUCUUUUAAGGGGGAAGAGCAGAAGACGGUACCCCUUGAAUAAGCCACGGCUAACUACGUGCCAGCAGCCGCGGUAAUACGUAGGUGGCAAGCGUUGUCCGGAUUUACUGGGUGUAAAGGGCGUGCAGCCGGAGAGACAAGUCAGAUGUGAAAUCCACGGGCUCAACCCGUGAACUGCAUUUGAAACUGUUUCCCUUGAGUGUCGGAGAGGUAAUCGGAAUUCCUUGUGUAGCGGUGAAAUGCGUAGAUAUAAGGAAGAACACCAGUGGCGAAGGCGGAUUACUGGACAGUAACUGACGUUGAGGCUCGAAAGCGUGGGGAGCAAACAGGAUUAGAUACCCCUGUAGUU
rnacentral:rRNA from 1 species